rnacentral:rRNA from 1 species
UACAGAGGUCCCGAGCGUUGUUCGGAUUCACUGGGCGUAAAGGGUGCGUAGGUGGUUGGGUAAGUUCGAUGUGAAAGCUCAGGGCUUAACCCUGAAAUGGCAUUGAAUACUACUUAACUGGAGGUUUGGAGGGGGGACUGGAAUUCUUGGUGUAGCAGUGAAAUGCGUAGAUAUCAAGAGGAACACCAGUGGCGAAGGCGAGUCCCUGGACAACACCUGACACUGAGGCACGAAAGCUAGGGGAGCAAACAGG